UACGGAGGGUGCAAGCGUUAUCCGGAUUCACUGGGUUUAAAGGGUGCGCAGGCGGAUAUGUAAGUCAGUGGUGAAAUCUCCGGGCUUAACCCGGAAACUGCCGUUGUUACUAUAUAUCUUGAAUGCUGUGGAGGUAAGCGGAAUAUGUCAUGUAGCGGUGAAAUGCUUAGAUAUGACAUAGAACACCUAUUGCGAAGGCAGCUUACUAAACAGAUAUUGACGCUCAUGCACGAAAGCGUGGGGAUCAAACAGG
rnacentral:rRNA from 1 species